AACGAACGCUGGCGGCAUGCCUAACACAUGCAAGUCGAACGAGACCUUCGGGUCUAGUGGCGCACGGGUGCGUAACGCGUGGGAACCUGCCCUUAGGUUCGGAAUAACUCCCCGAAAGGGGUGCUAAUACCGGAUAAUGUCUUCGGACCAAAGAUUUAUCGCCCUUGGAUGGGCCCGCGUUGGAUUAGCUAGUUGGUAGGGUAAAAGCCUACCAAGGCGACGAUCCAUAGCUGGUCUGAGAGGAUGAUCAGCCACACUGGGACUGAGACACGGCCCAGACUCCUACGGGAGGCAGCAGUGGGGAAUAUUGGACAAUGGGCGAAAGCCUGAUCCAGCAAUGCCGCGUGAGUGAUGAAGGCCUUAGGGUUGUAAAACUCUUUUACCCGGGAUGAUAAUGACAGUACCGGGAGAAUAAGCUCCGGCUAACUCCGUG
rnacentral:rRNA from 1 species